CUCCCUCCCUCUCUCUCUCUCUCUCUCUCUCUCUCUCUCUCUCUCUCUCUCUCUCUCAGAAUAAAUAAGUAAACCUUACAGAUUCAGUUCCCUUGUUAGGUGUCAACAUUCACAGAAGGGAAAAUAAUAAAAUUUGUUUUUGUUUAUCUUAGUAAUAUCAUUAAUUUUCUUUAUUUGGUACCAUCCUAUCUUUUAAUUACAUAAAUAAAAAUCCUCAGUCAUCACCUUCAUCUUGCAAUGCCUGUCAGCUACCAGUUCUAGAGUUCUUUUAAGAAUUGAUUUAGGCUUGGAGCACGUGGGUGGUUCUGUCGGUAAGCAUCCGACUAUUGAUUUCAGCUCAGGUCAUGAUCUUGGGGUUCGUGAGUUCGAGCCCUACAUCAGGCUCUGCGCUGAGCCUGCUUGGGAUUCUCUCUCUGCCACUCCUGCUCUCUCUCUCUAAAUAAACUUUAAAAAAUUGAAUUAGGCUUGUGCUUAUUGUGGAAAUUAAGUACUUAUGAAAGAUUCUGGCAGCAGAUUCUAAAUAAUUGAGUGACCUAUGUCCCCAGUAGUUUUUCCUUUUAAUGAGCUCGGGGAUCUAGUUUAAUUAAAAUCUUUGUUCAGGACUCCUUUAGCAUGAAGUUGCUGUUUACUAGAAUGAUUUUUUUUUUUUUUUUUAAGAGUAGAAUUUUUAAACAGGUACAGACUGAAGUUUGCGUCUUAGUUACAACUCUUUAUUCUGACUGGUGCCCAUGGAAGAAAUAGGGUAACUAGUUUAAUUAGUUUCGUAUCUUUUUCAAUCAAGAAAACUUAGACUACAUUUCUAGAACGCAUCCGCUGUGGGGAGUUACUUGGUCUUUGAUGCAGCUCUCUACCUGUUUGGUAGAGGAGCAGAGGGUUGCUGGAGUCCCUUUUGUAAGACCCCCCACACACUGCCUGCGGGGAAUGGAGCUCUUGAGCCCCUAAAGUAUGAGGUCCCAGUCCUUGUACUUAGACCCUGUGUCAGCUAGUAGCAUUUUAUAAAGAUGUUUUUAAAUAGAUGUGUAAGGGCCCAGAAGGAAGUUUUACAAAUAUUUUGGAGCCCUUAACCUUCAUUUCAGAGCUAAUCAUUGAAUAGAGUUAGAAAGCUCUUUCUCUUAAAAGCUCUGUCCCCAUUUUCUUGGUCCUAAAAUUUUGCCAGUCCCAGCAUCCUAAAUAUACUCCAGCCCAUUCCACAGUCCCCAGAUGAAGAGCUUAAACAGACUUGUAGGCUUCUAGCAGGGAUCUCCCUGAAGGGCAUGUGAGCCAGUGCGCUAGAAACAGUUGGAAGCAGCAGGCUGGUCCUUAACACCUGGCAUCAGGAGCGGGGCUGGACUCCAGGUGCUUGCGCAGGUGGUUGGCAAAGUCCACCUGGGUCUGUGAUAAGACCUGGUUGAUGAUCGUCUUUGGCAGCCAUCCCUAGAGUAGAAGAUAGAAGAAUUUGGCCACCUUGUGGGUGAUGUUCCCCUGUAGACACCUCUGUACCUGUCACAAACAUGGAUUGCUUGGGGCUUGGUCUUCCAGCUCUGUUUAUAGGUUGACCUUGGAGUUGACCCGGGAGGACUGCCCUACUGCCCUGCUGUGUCAUGACCGUGUAAGAGCGGUCAAUUAUGUCAAGACAAAGGUCAGUUGUGUGACCCUGAGCUAGCAACCAUAUCUUUGGGGGCCUAAGUUUCCUUCUUUCCAAAUGGGCAACUACAGAGUUGAAAUUUGAUAUGAGGUAAAAGGGAGCUAUUGUAGUCUGUGGAGAUGAUGGAAUAGCAGGCCGAUAUUCAAGCCUCGUCCUUCUCCCAACAGUCUGUCUCAAAAUGGAGGAGGGUUUUUCCUGUUCUUGCAGGAUCACGUGGGAGGGACCUACCGGGCCACGGGGAGCCAGAAUCAUUAGCCAGUGCUGGGGCUGACGCACCACCCACAGCUUGCAACCUUUUUGGCACACCUUUCAGACUGGGCUCCCAUGGGUUCCUGCCACCCACACCUGGACUCUCCUCACCUUAAUCUCCUUGACGUUCGGGUUCCACUCUCCCAUCGCUUCCAUGUGCUCCACAAGCUCUUCAUAAAGCCUCUCCAUGGGCUGGUCCACCACCACCUCCAACCGGAACACCUUGCCCAUAUCUGGGACCACUUUACUCAGUACCGUGUCCCCAUUUGCCUGUCAGGGAGAAAAAAAGGAGCUUCAGGAUAAAGUUUACAGAAAAAUAUUCCUAGGCAGGAAUAUGACAAGGACAGGCAAGGCAGGAAGGGGAACAGCACAAAGAACUUUAAGCAUGACAAAGCCUAAAAUUACUUGUUCUAAGACAGUUGGUCAUCUUUCCCGCCAUAAGCCUCAUACAUCUGCUGAAACCUUGAGCAGUAA